rnacentral:lncRNA from 10 species
ACAGGCUCAUAGGCAGAAGAGACUUGCCUUGUUUCAGAUGAGACUUUGGAUUGCAGACUUUUGAGGCCUGGCAGCUGUGGCGACUGAAUCUAAGAAGAAAGGCUGAUAAUGCUCUGGCUGGUUUCAUAAUAGGACUUUUCAAGGCACUGUCCCAUCCAUUAACUCAUUUGAAAUGAAAGGGAAUUCAGGAGAGGAUUGAAGAAGCGGUUCCUGUUUUUGAGGCAUUUGCAAUCAUUGCUGGAGAGACAGAACCAACAGAUGGGGAACAAUGGUCAGGGACUCCAGGCCUGAUUUAAGCCAAUGCCGCCCUGUGGUCUUUACCCACGAAUGGUGUGGAAAAUGAGAGCAGGGAAGAGGAUUUACUCACUGGCUGUGGAGUUAGGUCAGAAGGGGGAUGGAAAGAAGGAACCGGAUGGCUUUGGGGACAUUUCUUAAUCUUUAGGCUUCACCUUCCUUAACUGAAAAUAAAGCCAUAAGUUACCUCCAGAACUCUUUCAGCCUUAACAUUCAAUGAAUCUCGAUCUUUUCUGUAAAGCUAGAUUUUUAUGUGUGGUAUUUGCUAAAAGUUGGGGCGCACCCUUACUUGAUCUGGCCCAGACUAUAGAUCACAUGAAGAUCACAUUAAAUCAGGUCGAAAGACUUUUCUGACUUCAAAUUAGCGAAUAUGCAUAUGUGCUGAACUUUAGUCUUUUCCUUUUCUUGAACAUUCAGUUUAAUAAUUGUCUCUGCCAUUUUACACAUUUAUUUUUCUUGGCUAUUUAUAUUUUCCUUUUGGGGAGGUCAAAUAUAAAAAUAGGAUAUACAUGGACUGUAGCAGUUGAUAAUAACUUGUGUGCUUUGAUUUUUUAAAGAACCAAAAUUUACCAAAAGGGAUCUUGCUCACUUAUCAAUUUGUUUUUUUUAUAUCUCUGUUUUUGUACAUAUCUUUUAAGUUAUUCCAGACCCUGACAACUGGACACCUGGUUAUGAUUGCAGAAUGUGCAGUUUAAAAUCCUAUUUUAAAACUUAGUUUUUGUUUUUCUUUUUGAGACAGGGUCUCAUUCUGUCAUCCAGGCUGGAGUGCAGUGGUGCAAUCACGGCUCACUGCAGCCUUAACCUCCUGGGCUCAAGCAAUCCUUCUACCUCAGCCUC